rnacentral:rRNA from 1 species
GAUUCUGGCUCAGGAUGAACGCUAGCUACAGGCUUAACACAUGCAAGUCGAGGGGCAUCAGUUUGGUUUGCUUGCAAACCAAAGCUGGCGACCGGCGCACGGGUGAGUAACACGUAUCCAACCUGCCUCAUACUCGGGGAUAGCCUUUCGAAAGAAAGAUUAAUACUGGAUAGCAUAACGAGAAGGCAUCUUCUUGUUAUUAAAGAAUUUCGAUAAUCGAUGGGGAUGCGUUCCAUUUAG